GGAACUGAUCCAGAAAAUGGUCUCUGCUACUACUCAAGCGAACACUUCACUAAAAUUCUCUACCACGGCGACGACGGACUCCCCUAGAUUGCAGGAUGCGAUGUGUGCAGGGGCUUCAGCAGUAAUUCAACCCAUUCAGUGGCAGUUCCCUUGGCUGAAGGUGCCAGCUACAGCCAGCUGCGCUCGGGAGCAACCCAGAGAAGUAGUGGGGAAGAAAAGUUGGACGGCAACCCUACAGUACAUACAUGUACAUAGAAGCGGGUUGCUGAACAUCGUUACUUCUCGCUAGCUGACCAUACAUUCUAUUUAGUAAAAGAAGAUUUCUCUUCCCAGGAUCUUCCCUUGAAGGCGAUGCCGCCAAGGAAGCGGGGGAAAAGGGGAUUACCACCGCUACCAAGCAGCAGCAACCGCAACCGCCCGACCUGCCUGGACCUGACGCUCCCGUGCAAGAGAAGCUGCGGAGGCUUGCCGACCAAGAGAGAUUAUUUUCAGUUCAUUAAAUGAAGGAUGUACUCGAACCAACAUAAGAUAGACAGAUAAGCUACUUGAUACCCUACUAAUAGCAUGCUAGCACAAGGCUGAUGAAUCACCAUUGACAGAGAUCAGCGACCAGGGACCCUGCAGUUAAGUUUCUGCUCGUCUAAUGGAUUUUCUUGCAUUCUGUCAAAGUUAAGGUGAUUUGACUUACUGCCGCGUCAAACAAUACCUGGAAUGCUGGAGCUAUGGCGAGAAACAAUGGCGUGAAGGUUCCUGUACGAUGACGGCAACAAGCUGAUGCAACGGCGGGCGCGUUCAGCGGGCGAAACUCGGAGGCGGCGACCGUAGGCGGUGACCGUAAGCGGUGCGUGUCUUCAGGAGCAGCAGGCGUGGGCGCAGGGCGGCAGGCGGCGGACGAAACUCGGAGGCGGCGGACGAAACUCGGAGGCGGCGAUCCUGUCAAAGUUAAGGUGAUUUGACUUACUACCGCGUCAAACAAUACCUGGAAUGCUGGAGCUAUGGCGAGAAACAAUGGCGUGAAGGUUCCUGUACGAUGACGACGGCGGGCGCGUUCAGCUGGCGAAACUCGGAGGCGGCGACCGUAGGCGGUGACCGUAAGCGGUGCUUGACUUCAGGAGCAGCAGCCGUGGGCGUCGGGCGGCAGGCGGCGGACGAAACUCGGAGGCGGCGAUCCUGGCGGCGAUCCUGGCGGCGAUCCUGGCUACGAUCGGAGGUGUUGAUCGGACUGUUCAAUGAGGCGGCGCGUAAAUUCAGGAGGCUGCUCGUGACUUCACGAGGCUUGCCAUACCUUAAAGCACACGCGGAAAAUAGAAUCAUGUUUGGUUACAUGGGAAAGGAAACGUUUUUAUGGCUGUGCAGUGAAGGAAUGUAAUGCGAUAUGUGAUUGUUUCAUGCGAUCUCUGAUUGUAAUGCGAUCCAUGGUGAACAAUUUCCUUUCCUGGAAUGUGCUGUACUUGCCUA